GAUGAACGCUAGCUACAGGCUUAACACAUGCAAGUCGAGGGGUAACGAGAGGAAAGCUUGCUUUCCUUGUCGACGACCGGCGCACGGGUGAGUAACGCGUAUCCAACCUGCCCCCAACUAGGGAAUAACCUUGCGAAAGUAAGACUAAUACCCUAUAGUUUCCUCAGAUGUCAUCUGACGAGGAAUAAAGAUUUAUCGGUUGUGGAUGGGGAUGCGUCUGAUUAGCUUGUUGGCGGGGUAACGGCCCACCAAGGCAACGAUCAGUAGGGGUUCUGAGAGGGAGGUCCCCCACAUUGGAACUGAGACACGGUCCAAACUCCUACGGGAGGCAGCAGUGAGGAAUAUUGCACAAUGGGGGAAACCCUGAUGCAGCAACGCCGCGUGAGUGAAGAAGGCCCUUGGGUUGUAAAGCUCUUUAGCGUGGGAAGAAGGUAGAUAUGGUGAAUAAUCAUGUUUGCUGACGGUACCACGAGAAUAAGCACCGGCUAAUUUCGUGCCAGCCGCCGCGGUAA
rnacentral:rRNA from 1 species